GCACAUUCCAGCCAAUCAGCAGCAGACCCUCCCUCCCAGAUCCUCCCACCUCCUGGACAGCAUCCAUUGUGAAGCUGCAUUCUUAGUGAGCUGUCCAGGAGGUGGGAGGGUCUGGGAGGGAGGGUCUGCUGCUGAUUGGCUGGAAUGUGUCU